rnacentral:rRNA from 1 species
GACGAACGCUGGCGGCGUGCUUAACACAUGCAAGUCGAACGGAAAGGCCCUGCUUUUGUGGGGUGCUCGAGUGGCGAACGGGUGAGUAACACGUGAGUAACCUGUCCUUGACUUUGGGAUAACUUCAGGAAACUGGGGCUAAUACAGGAUAGGAGCUCCUGCUGCAUGGUGGGGGUAGGAAAGAUUCGGCGGUUCGGGAUGGACUCGCGGCUUAUCAGCUUGUUGGUGGGGUAGUGGCUUACCAAGGCUUUGACGGGUAGCCGGCCUGGGAGGGUGACCGGGCACAUUGGGACUGAGAUACGGCGCAGACGCGUACGGGCGGCAGCAGGCGGGAAUAUUGCACAAUGGGCGGAAGCCUGAUGCAGCAACGCCGCGUGCGGGAUGACGGCCUUCGGGGUGUAAACCGCUUUCGCCUGUGACGAAGCGUUAGUGACGGUAAUGGGUAAAGAAGCACCGGCUAACUACGUG